ACGGGUGAGUAAUGUCUGGGAAACUGCCUGAUGGAGGGGAUAACUACUGGAAACGGUAGCUAAUACCGCAUAACGUCGCAAGACCAAAGAGGGGGACCUUCGGGCCUCUUGCCAUCGGAUGUGCCCAGAUGGGAUUAGCUAGUAGGUGGGGUAACGGCUCACCUAGGCGACGAUCCCUAGCUGGUCUGAGAGGAUGACCAGCCACACUGGAACUGAGACACGGUCCAGACUCCUACGGGAGGCAGCAGUGGGGAAUAUUGCACAAUGGGCGCAAGCCUGAUGCAGCCAUGCCGCGUGUAUGAAGAAGGCCUUCGGGUUGUAAAGUACUUUCAGCGGGGAGGAAGGCGAUAAGGUUAAUAACCUUGUCGAUUGACGUUACCCGCAGAAGAAGCACCGGCUAACUCCGUGCCAGCAGCCGCGGUAAUACGGAGGGUGCAAGCGUUAAUCGGAAUUACUGGGCGUAAAGCGCACGCAGGCGGUCUGUCAAGUCGGAUGUGAAAUCCCCGGGCUCAACCUGGGAACUGCAUUCGAAACUGGCAGGCUAGAGUCUUGUAGAGGGGGGUAGAAUUCCAGGUGUAGCGGUGAAAUGCGUAGAGAUCUGGAGGAAUACCGGUGGC
rnacentral:rRNA from 1 species